UUCUGGCUUAGUUAGGAGGCGCAUACGGAUGGGCAAUGUGAUGUCCACUUGGGCCUUUUGAGGGAGCGCCUUGUAAACCAUAAUUCGCGAUGCUCCCCAAGCAGCUCUAGACAUUC
rnacentral:snoRNA from 1 species